CAUGCCGUAGCUCAGGGGUUAGAGCGUCUGUCUAGUAAACAGAAGGUCGAGGGUUCCUAGUAACAUGU
rnacentral:tRNA from 1 species